AAGGAUCAUUACCGAAUCGUCGACACGAGUUGUUGCUGGUCCUCAAAUGGGGACAUGUGUGCACACUCUGUUUGUACAUCCACUCACACCUGUGCACCCUCCGUAGUUCUGUAGCCUGGGGGCUCUGUCCCCCCUGCUGUGGUCCUACGUAUUUACACACACACACGCUGUAAUAAAGUCUCAUGGAAUGUAUGCCGCGUUUAACGCAAUAUAAUACAACUUUCAGCAACGGAUCUCUUGGCUCUC
rnacentral:misc_RNA from 1 species